GGGGACAGCUGUGGGGACACGGCCCAGAUGUUCUGGUCCCAGCAGAAGUGACUGGCGGGGACCAGGAUGCUGGAGGGUCAGCUCGAGGCCAGGGAGCCCAAGGAGGGCACCCACCCAGAGGACCCGUGCCCGGGAGCUGGGGCUGCCAUGGAGAAGACACCUGCAGCAGCCGAGGUCCCCAGGGAGGACAGCAAUGCCGGGGAGAUGCCGGUGAGCUGAUCUCUGUGGGGAUAGAGUUAGUCCCACCAGGCGGGACCCUGAUUCCUGUCCCUGAGGCCUGUCAUUGGACUUCCCUCGCCAGACCCCUGUAGGAAUGCGCCACCCUGGGACGCUGAUGCUAAACUUCCUCUCAGAGGGGCACGUGGCUCUUUUCCCCUCUGCAACCUUCUCUCUUUGUUGAUGGGAGGCAGGACACAGAGUUAAAGAAAAUAUUAACAUUCCAGCUUUUCUCUUCUAAUCCAGGAGAAGGCACCAGACUUUAAAAACUUCAUUAAAGAAAAUCAGGUUGACAUGCCUCACAUCAUCCCAGCAACCACCUUCCUCACUGGACCCUGUUGGACAGUGCUUGCUCUCAUGAAAGUGCCAUGGGUCUCUGUGGCCAGGGCCACACAGUGCAGGGCUGUACCUUUAUCACGAUCCCGCUUAUUCUCAGAGCAAGGCUGGAGGCUCUACGGUCCAAUGAAGGAUGCCACGGGAAGGCUAACAUGUCAGGUUGAAAAUGCAGUGGCUUC
ensembl:lncRNA novel transcript